rnacentral:lncRNA from 1 species
UGCAAGCAGAGGAAAAUUUUAAGCUUUUAUAGUUAGAAAUUAGUAUUCUGAUUGUGAUAGAUGCUGUACAGUAAGGAGAGAACUAGCUCCUGCCUGAGGCAAUUUUAUGAUGUAAUAGGAUUCUAAAGAUUUUAAACAUGUUUUAAUUCAGAAUGGGAGAAAAAAAUUAAUCAGACUGCAUGAACCGGGGAAUUGGAAGUGCCAGCACCAGGAAAUCCAGCAGAUUCUACCACAGCAGCACAGGUUUGAAGUUUCUGGCAAAAGGAUGUAAUAUCAUAAAUAAAUGAAGGAGAAAGAGGGAAUACUGAAAGAAGCCAAGUCUGCAUCCUGAACAUCUUAAAAUCCCAUUUUUUUUUCCUCAGAAGUGUUAUAACUCCUGAUGAAAAGAAGUGAGUGGUCACUUUGAGUACUGAAUAAUUUUCACUAAUAAAAGUAAAGAUGCUGUUUUACUCUCCUGUUGC